rnacentral:ribozyme from 1 species
UCCAUCUCCUCCAUCUCAUCUGACUCCAGCUCUAGCUCUAGCUCCAGCUCUUUCUGAGAAGAUGACUGAGUGAUGAUGCAAAAAAGGAGUAUAUAUUUGAAAAG